GACGAACGCUGGCGGCGUGCUUAACACAUGCAAGUCGAACGGAAAGACCCUGCUUUUGUGGGGUGCUCGAGUGGCGAACGGGUGAGUAACACGUGAGUAACCUGCCCUUGACUUUGGGAUAACUUCAGGAAACUGGGGCUAAUACCGGAUAGGAGCUCCUGCUGCAUGGUGGGGGUUGGAAAGUUUCGGCGGUUGGGGAUGGACUCGCGGCUUAUCAGCUUGUUGGUGGGGUAGUGGCUUACCAAGGCUUUGACGGGUAGCCGGCCUGAGAGGGUGACCGGCCACGUUGGGACUGAGAUACGGCCCAGACUCCUACGGGAGGCAGCAGUGGGGAAUAUUGCACAAUGGGCGGAAGCCUGAUGCAGCAACGCCGCGUGCGGGAUGACGGCCUUCGGGUUGUAAACCGCUUUCGCCUGUGACGAAGCGUGAGUGACGGUAAUGGGUAAAGAAGCACCGGCUAACUACGU
rnacentral:rRNA from 1 species